GGCGGCGUAGCAUAACCUGGUAAUGCACGAGGCUGAAUCCCUCGAUGCCUAACGGCUAUCUGGGUUCAAACUUCAUGCAACAGUAUGUGCAUGGGUGAAUAUCCCAGCGCCGCCG
rnacentral:tRNA from 1 species